CCGGACGCGGGCUCGUCGCCCUCGAACAGCUGGUUCACCUCCCCCUGGAUGUCGGAGGGGCGCCGCUCGCCGUCGCUCUUGGAGACGGUGAACCUCUGGCUCAUGGCUGUCGCCCGGUGAGACAAGCGGCGACCGCGAGAACACUUCCAGAAGGGAUUUUUUUGGAGAAAACAAGUGACCCACAUGCCCCAGCAGAAGGCCAGUCAACAACUCACUCAGCAGGACAGAGGGCCGCUGGCUCCAUUGAAACAACAUAACUAUGCCACAGUAUAUUACCUUAUUUACUACCAGGUGGAAAAAGCUCUGAAUGAAUCCAAUAAGGCUUGUAAUAAAUGUUUUAUCUGUAAUUCCCAAUGGGGAUUUAAUGUUGUUGUUUUCACUUUAAAGGCCCAGUAAACGUAUUGUUUCUCAAUCAGCCUUUCACUGUUAGUAAUGGCAUCCUACACGAACACAGCGUUUGACAGUUUUGUUGUUUUCACAUUUCUCUUUUCACGCGUCUGAAGUGUCAUCAGCUCAUGAGAAAAGGCUGAUGUCACGUACAUCUGUGCACCAUCAGGAUUUAAAAAUAUCACAUAUAUUUGCAGAGUAUGUAACUCUCUUAAUCAAUAAUACCAAAAUAUGUUCUGUAACUUUGAUUGUUGCUUAUUUAUUCAGGAAUGUUUUAUGACAGAUUGGAAUAAAUAAUGAUCAAUAUUUUUAGAACAACAAUAUGUCAAAUGGUAAUGUGAGAGGGGGUAACUCAAUGUGAUGAACCAACUGAAUGUGCCGCUCCCCCUUGACUCUACAAGACUCUAUUGUUCAAAUUCAUUGUUUCUCUGCGUGGCUACAACUGUACUUGUGUUGGUUCACUCUCAUUCCUUUUUCGUUUCUGGCAAAGCAGGCAGCUGUUUUUCAGCCAAAGUUGAUCAUUGUAUGCAAAUGUUACCAGCUUCCACAAAGGUAUAAUCUGAUAUAUGAGGGUACUUCAUUUCAUCAGGGAAUUAGAAGUCAAGUUAAGUCACGCUUUAUUGUAACGCACAUUUAAAAACAAGGGGUUGAGUAAAGUGCUUUAUGUAGCAAAGGGAAGGCAAAAAAGUACAGAUGAAGAGAAUAAGUAGUGCAAUGAUCUGAAUCUUCAAUAGUGGGGAGAGAUUAUUCCCAAACUUGGGAGCAGCAACAGAGAAAGUCUGGCUCCCUUUAGUUUUAGGAAAGGAUUUCACCUUCAUUUGAAAGUUUGUGUGUCUGACAUUGGAUGAAUGGAAUUCAUGUCAACUAGCCAGUUAGUUAAAGUAGCCAGCAUCCCAAUGAGCAUCUUUCAGACAUGCACUGAAGUCCGGACAUUUUCCAGAACUUUUCUGGAUGUGAGAAUGCAAAUGUUGCUCACAACCUCCUGUUUUCCAGAACUCUUCCUGCCAGCCCCACUUGUAAAAUUGAAGAAGAAUGUCCCAGAAACUUUCCUGCUGAUGUGAAUGUGUCUGACUUCGACACUCUCCUGCUGCGUUUUUCAUAUACAAACAGCAAAUCUCUGGAAAAUGUCUUCUCGACAACUCAUUCACAGAUCCACAUCCCCUUUCUCCUGGAUUUUCAUUAAAAACUUGCUGAACUGCUCAUAAUUCUGCUCUUUGGUCCCCAAUCUGCUCAGCCCUAACAACAUGUAGUGCAUAGUUCUGCAACAGUAAAAACACUGAUUUCUUAAAUAUGAUAACACAAAAAUCUCAUUUUAAAUUCGUUUAAAAUUGUUACCCUGCUAGUAAUCCCAAUUUUUAAAAAAAAGCAUCUGUAAUCUGAACGCCGUUCCAUGUAUUCCGUUACUCCCCAAAUUUUGAGCGCACCCACAAACUCCACACGGUGCUUUUGUAUCUUUAAACAUGCGUAUAUAUAUUUAUAUAUAUUCAAAGGUGUAAGGCUACCUGUAUAUGAUAUAAGUUUGAUAGAAUAAUUACUGUGAUAUGGUAAUGAAUGUAAUAUAAUUUCUAUUAUUACUAGUAAUUACUACAAUUGUCUUAUAUUAUUAUUGCAUAUCCUUACUAUGUUUACCCAUAUGUGCCUUUCUAUUCUAUGCUGAUCUGUGCUCAUUCAAUAAAGAAAUGGUUGAAUUUC